rnacentral:lncRNA from 1 species
ACAGCAUCAACCAGCAUGAUGGAUGGAUGGAUGGAAAUGAUUGGAUACGAAUGAAUUGACCGUCCUGUAAUCCAGUGAAUCACAGUGGAGGAUUAAAGUCUCAUCUGUGUCUCACUCAUUCUCUCUCAUCACCCGCUGUGUUUAUGUGAGAUGAUGUUUCUUGAGUGUGUCAUAAUCCUAGCAAACAGCACAAAUCACUCGUGAGUGAAGAAUGACCUCCUCACACACUGCACUGAAACCUGAUGUCAGAAUAUCAUCAACAGCUGUCAGAGCUGUAGUUUAUAUCAGAGGUUCUGGAUGAAACCCAACCCUCCUUCCGCAGAUACCUGCACAGUUACAUGAUCUGAGGGGUUCAGGUGAACAGCGGCGGCCCACCUGCUCUCACCUGCGGCCAGUAUUCACCUACUGAAGGAAAGGGGAGGAAAAAUUAAGUCAAUCCAAUCAAGACCGGAUCUAUAACAUAAGGUAUGGGUGUGUGUAUAUAUAUAUAUAUAUAUAUAUACACACACACGUACCGGGUGGUGUGUAUAUAUAUAUAUAUAUA